rnacentral:rRNA from 1 species
CCUACGGGGGGCAGCAGUGAGGAAUAUUGGUCAAUGGACGAGAGUCUGAACCAGCCAAGUAGCGUGAAGGAUGACUGCCCUAUGGGUUGUAAACUUCUUUUAUAUGGGAAUAAAAUGUUCCACGUGUGGGAUUUUGUAUGUACCAUAUUAAUAAGGAUCGGCUAACUCCGUGCCAGCAGCCGCGGUAAUACGGAGGAUCCGAGCGUUAGCCGGAUUUAUUGGGUUUAAAGGGAGCGUAGGUGGAUUGUUAAGUCAGUUGUGAAAGUUUGCGGCUCAACCGUAAAAUUGCAGUUGAAACUGGCAGUCUUGAGUACAGUAGAGGUGGGCGGAAUCCGUGGUGUAGCGGUGAAAUGCUUAGAUAUCACGAAGAACUCCGAUUGCGAAGGCAGUUCACUGGACUGCAACUGACACUGAGGCUCGAAAGUGUGGGUAUCAAACAGGAUUAGAUACCCGGGUAGUC